rnacentral:tRNA from 1 species
GUCUAGAUAGUUUAAUUGGUUAAAACAUUUGCCUCAUAUGCAUUUAAUGUUGGUUCAAUCCCUUCUCUAGGUA